rnacentral:lncRNA from 1 species
AGAUAUUCACACACAAAACCAGAUACUCACAUACGGAGCCAGAUAAUCACACACAAAGCAUACAAUACUCAAGAUAAGGAAAGAGUUAUCCUCCUUCUUCGCGACCGGACAAGAUCGGCCUUCAAUCAAACAGAGAAAACCCUAGGUACAAAACCCUAGGUGCAACAGUCGAAAUACUUACUGGAAGUAUGGUCAGGGAUGUCGGAAAGUCACCCAAAACAUCCACUUAGUGAGAAUCGAGCCACCGGAUAGCAAUAAAACCCUAGGUUAAACCACCAGAAACCCUAGAAGCCGAUAGGUUACCCAAAAAUUACCCAAAAAUCAUUAGAAAAUCUCCCAGAACGUUCGAGUGAAGAAAAUACACUCAGAUAUCACGAUAAAAAACUCAGAAAGGCGUCCGAUUUAGAUCGGAAUCGUCAUCGACCACAAGGUCUCAGAAACACCCCCAAAAAUCUCAAAAGAGACUUCAACCAAGACAACGAGAUACAGAAAAACAUAGUCGGGUCGUCGUCGAGGCUCUGAUACCAUGUAAACAUUGAGAUUUAAUCGAAAAAUCAUGGAGAAUGUAGAGAGAGAAUCUAGAGAGAAGGAGGAGCGUCUGAGAGAAGUCUCUAGAAACCAGAGAAUAUUAUUAAACAGAAAAGAAGAUGAAAUGGAAUCCGUGUGUGUAAAAUAUCUGAGGGACUACUAUAUAUGCCCAAUGGCAAAAAGGAAAUGGGGCUCAGACAUAUUGGGCUCGUUACAUACAUUUGGCCCAAAUAACAAACAGAUCAUCAUAGCCCAUACAAUGUAUAUCAGAGAAUACAAUAAAUAUACAGUGUGUAUACAGUGUGUACAAUCAUGUAAUCUCUUUCAUCUCAACACCCCCCCUCAAGUUGGAGGGGGAAACCACCUGCAACUUGGAUAACAGCGGAAGAAGCAUAGUGCCAGGCAGUG